GCUUACGUCCAUAUCAGCCUGGGUACGCCCGAUCUCGUCUGAUCUCGGAAGCUAAGCAGGGUCGGGCCUGGUUAGUACUUGGAUGGGAGACCGCCUGGGAAUACCAGGUGCUGUAAGAA
rnacentral:rRNA from 1 species